UACGAAGGGGGCUAGCGUUGCUCGGAAUCACUGGGCGUAAAGCGCACGUAGGCGGCUUUUUAAGUCAGAGGUGAAAUCCUGGAGCUCAACUCCAGAACUGCCUUUGAUACUGAGAAGCUUGAGUCCGGGAGAGGUGAGUGGAACUGCGAGUGUAGAGGUGAAAUUCGUAGAUAUUCGCAAGAACACCAGUGGCGAAGGCGGCUCACUGGCCCGGUACUGACGCUGAGGUGCGAAAGCGUGGGGAGCAAACAGG
rnacentral:rRNA from 1 species